rnacentral:lncRNA from 1 species
AGGAGGCCUACCGCCAGAGGUCUGGGGUGGUGCGUGGAGAACUGACAGUCUAGCUUCUCGGAUUCGUCGGCUCCGUCCAUCUCCCCUUCAUCACUGGACAGUCGGCUGGCGAGGUCACCUCCAACCGGUGGGAGUGGGGGCUCUGGAGUGUGGCCGCUAUGAUUUGAAGAUGUGCUGCUGCUUAUGCUAUUUGCAGAUGAUGGUCUAAGGGC